UGAUCAGGCUUGCGGUGACAUCAGAACAGCGACCAGACCUGAAGCUGGUCCCUACAGACCUGCCUGAAGUGUCCACAGUCAGUCAGCUGAUGCAGACAUGCUGGAGCCAGACCCCGGAGGACAGGCCCACAUUCCAGGAGUGUGCAGACCGUCUCCUUGCCGUGACCAGCAGGUCCAGUAAAGAGGACAUUCUACAGGCCAUUAUUGACGUGAUGAAGGCUCGCAAGAACUGAUUCAAAACCUUGAUAUAUGGACAGGCGACGGUUAACAGCACCAGAUUUGUCAGGUUUUCGUGUAGAUUAAGGUACAAGCAGGAGAAAUCUACAGAUAAAAAUGAUGAUACAGCCACGCAGCGUAGUUCAAAGGACACAUGAAGUUUUUUAAUUCAUCAAGAUCCAGGACAGGCCAAAAGGCAACACUGGUUUAAAGUUUGAAAGUCUUUAACGAAUUGAACAUUUCCAGCAAUCUAUUUUCUGUUCAUUCAACAUUGGUAUUGCACCAGCAUAGUUCAGGUUCUGAAAUUCCUGGAAUCAGGUUAUAAAAUCGAAGUUGGUUGUUAUGCUUAAAUGGUUAAAGAUGUAAUAGUUUUGCUGAGCAAAAAUAGUUAAUGCAACAGAGGUUACAUCUUUUUUUACAACCAUUGUUUUCUUGGGGCUGGUGUAGUAAUAAGACAAUAUCGCAAUUAUGGUAUAUGUGGCAUGUGCUUUUAUCUUCUAGAUUCCAUUAUAGACAAAGGGCAAGACUGGUGCAAACUCUUAAGAUGAUUUUCUAGUCACAACUAACAAGAAACGGUUUAAGAAAAGAUAUCGGGAUCAUUUGUAUCAUAUGUCACCUUGACUACAUAAAAUCGUAACAAUUAUUAACUUUUGUACAGGUAAUAUGUUAAGUCUUUGCUACUUGAUACACGUCUAAUGGUGUUUACAGUAAUGUGCUUUUGAGAAAUAUUUACACAUAUUUUGCUUCUCAAUCUUGUGAUGCAGUGAAAUAAAAUUCGGUAAAAACGGUAUGUAUGACCAAGUAUGUGUGACAUUUACUGUUAGGCCCGAUGCUACAACUGAA